rnacentral:lncRNA from 1 species
GUUUUAUCUACCUUUGGUCUUUAAUGAUACUGACAUACAGAUGGGGUUUUGGUGUGGAUGUCCUUUCUGUUUGUUAGUUUUCCUUUUAACAGUCAGGACCCUCAGCUGCAGGUCUGUUGGAGUUUGCUGGAGGUCUGCUCCAGACCCUGUUUGCCUGGGUAUCAGCAGCAGAGGCUGCAGAACAGGGAAUAUUGCUGAACAGCAAAUGUUGCUGUCUGAUCGUUCCUCUGGAGGUUUCAUCUCAGAGGGGUACCUGGCUGUGUGAGGUGUCAGUCUGACCCUACUGGGGGGUGCCUCCCAGCUAGGCUACUUGGGGGUCAGGGACCCACUUGAGGAGGCAGUCUGUCUGUUCUCAGAUCUCAAACUCCAUGCUGGGAGAACCACUACUCUCUUCAAAGCUGUCAGACAGGGACAUUUAAGUCUGCAGAGGUUUCUGCUGCCUUUUGCUCGGCUAUGCCCUGCCCCCAGAGGUGGAGUCUACAGAGGCAGGCAGGCCUCCUUGAGCUGCGGUUGGCUCCACCCAGUUCGAGCUUCCCGGCCGCUUUGCUUUGUUUACCUACUCAAGCCUCAGCAGUGGCGGGCGCCCCUCCCCCAGCCUUGCUGCCACCUUGCAGUUCGAUCUCAGACUGCUGUGCUAGCAAUGAGCAAGGCUCCGUGGGCGUGGGACCCUCCAAGCCAGGUGCAGGAUAUAAUCUCCUGGUGUGCCAUUUGCUAAGACCAUUGGAAAAGCGCAGUAUGAGGGUGGGAGUGACCUGAUUUUCCAGGUACCAUCUGUCACAGCUUUGCUUGGCUGUGAAAGGGAAUUCCCUGACCCCUUGCGCUUCCCGGGUGAUGCAAUGUGGUUAUCAAUGACAACUUGCUACUCAGCUAGCUACUAUUAAUAACAACAUAUUUUUCACUCAUCUGGUCAUUCAAAACCAAAAGCCUUUGCUAAUUUCUUCUGUAAAAGUGGUAUUUCUUCAUUUGAUGGUAAAUGUAAGAUGCAUUUCAAUUUUCACUAUGCUUGAUCUUAGCCAAAAGGCCGAGCAAUGAUUGUAGUUCAAUUUUUAGAUAAAAUGUGAAUAAAAAUAGAUAUCUUAGGAAAAAGAAAUUUCAAAACAUCAGAGAAAAAUAAUAAGUUAAGCCCCAAGCUGAGUGUAGUCAUUCGUUUUCUAAGGAGGGUGUGGAGGGGAAGGAUGUCAUAAUUCAUAUUAGCAAUAUGUCUCCACUUCUCUCUUCCUUCCCCUCAAAGACUGAUGGGGAAAAAAACUGAAAUUUCAAAGCCUCUGCCCAUUUUUAUCUGCAGAUAGUCUGGACUCUGGAGCCAAAGCCUAUCAUUGUAGAAGGCCAGCAUUUAAGCUUCUGGGGAGUGGAAAUGUCUCUGAUGCUCCAGAGCCUUGUAGUGGAUGGAAAACUUACUUGUUCUGCAUCAUAAGAUGAGGAAAAUUUAGUUUGUUGGCGGUCUAGGGGAGAAAAGUGUCCAAAGGGGAGAAGCACGGAGCGUGAAGUCAUGAAGGGAGUAAGAAACCAUGGCAGGAGGCCAGAGCCUCCUGGGAGAGAGGUGCCCAGUGGGAAAUUCCAGUCAUUAGGGUGGCCAAAGGACUUUAUCUUUUUUUUUUUUUUUUUUUUUUUGAGACAGAGUCUCGCUCUGUCGCCCAGGCUGGAGUGCAGUGGCGCAAUCUGGGCUCACUGCAAGCUCCGCCUCCUGAGUUCAUGCCAUUCUUCUGCCUCAGCCUCCCCCGUAGCUGGGACUACAGGUACCCGCCACCAGGCCUGGCUAAUUUUUUUUGUAUUUUUUUUAGUAGAGACAGGGUUUCUCCAUGUUAGCCAGGAUGGUCUUGAUCUCCUGACCUUGUGAUCCUCCUGCCUUGGCCUCCCAAAGUGCCAGGAUUACAGGCAUGAGCCUCCGCGCCUGGCCGAAAGGACUUUAAUAACAAGGAUAUUUGAAGUUCAACUUUCAGUUGUUUGCCAUGUGAUGCCACCAUGUAUCCUGGCCUUCAUACACAUCAUCCCAAAAGUCAGAAAAACUGCUGCUGCACCUGAGGCUUAUAAAGGGAGGAAGUCAAGAAGGAGAUGUGACCUAUGUGAGACCAUGCUCUGGAGAAGAGAGACCGCAUCAACAGCCAGACAUCUUUACAUGUAAAUGAUUCAUCAGAAGCAAAAAUUUGGAGUCAGAGAAGACAAGGAGAAAUGUAGUCAUCUCCCCACCCCAACACACUUAGGGCUUAACUUGGAGUGGUUGGGGGCAUGCGAAUCAACUGACUAAGAUAAAAGACAAGGAUGAACGGAUGGAUGUGUGAAAGGAAAAUAAAUCUUGGAGCCCCCAAAUCACUAAGCUAAAGGGAAAAGUCAAGCUGGGAACUGCUUAGGGCCAACCUGCCUCCCAUUCUACUCAAAGUCACCCCUCUGCUCACUGACACAGAUGCAUAUCUGAUUGCCUCCUUCGGAAAGGCGAAUCAGAAACUCAAAAGAAUGCAACCAUUUGUGCCUCACCUAUUUGUGACCUGUAAGCCUCCUCUCUGCUUCAAGUCUUCCUAGCUUUGCUUCAAGUUGUCCCGCCUUUCCAGACCGAAACAGUGUACUUCUUACAUAUGUUGUUUGAUGUCUCGUGUCUCCUUAAAAUGUAUAAAACUAAGCUGUGACUGAGCACCUUGGGCACAUGUUGUCAGGACUUCCUGAGGCUGUGUCACGGGCACAUCCUCAACUUUGGCAAAAUAAACUUUCUAAAUUAACUGAGAUCUGUCUCAGAAUUUCUGGGUUCAUAGAUUGACAGGGAAUUUUUUUUUUUUUUUUUUUUUUUUUGAGACAGGGUCUGGCUUUGUCACCCAGGCCAGAGUGCAGUGGUGCAAACUCAGCUCACUGCAACCCCUGUCUCCUUGGCUCAAGUCAUCCUCAGACCUCAGCCUCCUGAGUAGCUGGGACAGCAGACAUGUGCCACCACUCCCAGCUAAUUUUUUUUUGUAUUUUUUGUAGAGAUGGGGCUUCACCAUGUCACCCAGGCUGGUCUCCAACUCCUGAGCUCAAGCGAUCCGCCCACCUUGGCCUCUCAAAGUGCUGGGAUUACAGGUGUGAGUCACUGUGCCCGGCCAGCAUUUCAUUGUCUUUUAUGACAUUGCCAUUUUUGAAAAAACAAUCCCUUUUUUAAAAAAAAAACUAGAAUGUUCCUUAUUUUGAGUUUGUCUGAUACUUCCUCAUGAUUAGUUUCAGAGUAUGCAUUCUGGCCAGAAUAGCACAUUAGUGAUGUUGUCCUCAGGGAGUCACACCUAGAAGCAUAUAAUCUGUGUGUCAAAUGCCCCUUAUUUGUGAUGUCAAUUUUGAUCUGCUGGUCAAGGUAUUGUCUGAGUUGUUCAAAUGAUAGUAGUUUUUUUCUCUUAUUCCUAAUAAGCAAUCUAUGGGAAGAUAUCAUAAGGUCAUCCAAAUAUCCUGCUCCUCAUCAAAAAUUUAUCUCUAGAUUUAGCAUCUAUUGAUAAUUUUUGCCCAAAUGAAUCAAUAUUUACUGUGUUGGCAGAAAAAAAAUGAAGAUUUUCCAGUUCAAUUACUCUUUUCACAUUUACAAUUCAGCACUUGGCAUUCUUGCAUAAGCAAGACCUCUUCUUUCUUUACAUAUUUAUCUACAUGUUAUUAGCAUGGACUAAUGAAAUUACUAGGUUUUUUUGUUUGUUUGUUUGUUUUUUCCCAAUGGUUGGUGCUCAAAUUGUCCUAUAUUUGAUGAAUGGGAGCCCCUUCAAGCUGGCUCCUGUGUUCUCGUGUCAUGCCCUAUCAUUUUGAGCAGUUCCUUACUCUUUGACCUAAUAAGUUGCUUCAGGCUCACCUUGUACCUUUUCUGGCCCACCCAUUUCGUCCAAGAGCCUUUGAAGAAAGGCUCUUUACUAGGGAAUGGUGUCAGAAUCCAACAUCUGAGUUCUAAGUCCUAAUAAUGUUUUAAGGAUAGAUUCUUAGGAUUAUAAUUUUUUUUUUUUUUUGGUCACAGUAUAGUUUUGGAGAUUCUUUAUAUGUAUCACCAAACUGCUUCCUGGAAAUGUACUGAUUUAUUCUCCUACCUGCAGUGCAUAAGAACGCACUUCUCUUUCCAUGCUCACUAACAUUACCUUUUUCCUAACUUUUCAGGUAGAAAAGUAUAUAAUAAUUUUUGUUUCCUAGAUGAUGAUGAUGAUUAUUAUUAUUAUUAUUAUUUGAGACAGAGUCUCCCUCUGUCGCCCAGGCUGGAGUGCAGUAGCUCAAUCUCGGCUCACUGCAACUUCCGCCUCCCAGGCUCAAGUGACUUCCCCAGCUGAGCCUCCCAAGCUGGAAACGUAGGUGCCAUAACACCUUGUCUAAUUUUUGUAUUUUUUUGCAGAGACAAAAUUUCGCCAUGUUGCCCAGGCCAGUCUUGAGCUCCUGGACUCAGCUAUCUACCUGCCUUGGCCUCCCGAAUGUUUCCUAGAUUACUAAUAAGGUUUGUUCAUUUAUUACCUGUUUUCAUUAAAUUAUCUGUUCAGGCUGGGCGCAAUGGCUCACGCCUGUAAUGCCAGCACUUUGGGAGGCCAAGGCGGGUGGAUCUCCUGAGGUCGGGAGUUUGAGACCAGCCUGGCCAACAUGGUGAAACCCUGUCUCUAAUAAAAAUACAAAAAUUAGCCAGGCGUGGUAGCCUGCACCUGUAAUCCCAGCUACUCAGGUGGCUGAGACAGGAGAAUCACUUGAACUCGGGAGGUGGAGGUUGCAGUGAGCUGAGAUUACGCCACUGCAACUCCAGCCUGGGCACCACAGAUUGGGACUCAGUCUCAAACAAAAAUAAAUAAAUAAAUAAAUAAGUUAUCUGUUCAUAUUGUGCCUACUUUUAUCAGAGCUUACAGUUUUAUAUCUGUAUGAAGUGUUCUUAUAUUUGGGACAAUGAUUUUGCUAGCUUAUUUACAUUUAAAUUUUCUUUGUACUUUUACUUUACAUUCAAGUAUUUGAUGUUUAUAUUGAGUCAAAUCUGUCCAUCCUUUCCUUUGUGAUUUUUUUCCCAUUGCUGUAAUGCUUAGGGUAUAUUUUUAUAGAGCAA